rnacentral:rRNA from 1 species
UAGGUGAAGUCAAUGAUCCCAUGCUGCCAAGAAAAGCCUCUAGCGAGCUUCGAGCGGCCCGUACCCCAAACCGACACAGGUGGUCAGGUAGAGAAUACCGAGGCGAUCGGGCGAACUGUGGUUAAGGAACUCGGCAAAUUACCCCCGUAACUUCGGGAGAAGGGGGGCCACAGACUGUCAUACCCCACGCGGGUGGCAGCAGUAGGUGGCCGCAGAGACCAGGGGGAAGCGACUGUUUACUAAAAACACAGGUCCGUGCGAAGUCGUAAGACGAUGUAUACGGACUGACGCCUGCCCGGUGCUGGAACGUUAAGGGGACCGGUUAGUCCGCAAGGGCGAAGCUGAGAACUUAAGCGCCAGUAAACGGCGGUGGUAACUAUAACCAUCCUAAGGUAGCGAAAUUCCUUGUCGGGUAAGUUCCGACCUGCACGAAUGGCGUAACGACUUCCCUACUGUCUCAACCACAGGCCCGGCGAAAUUGCACUACGAGUAAAGAUGCUCGUUACGCGCGGAAGGACGGAAAGACCCCGGGACCUUCACUAUAGCUUGACAUUGGUAUCCGAAUUUAAUUGUGUAGGAUAGGUGGGAGGCUUUGAUCCGCGGACGCCAGUCCGUCGGGGAGCCAACGUUGAAAUACCACUCUGUUGAAUUUGGGUAUCUAACUUCGGACCGUGAUCCGGUUCAGGGACAGUGUCUGGUGGGUAGUUUAACUGGGGCGGUUGCCUCCUAAAAUGUAACGGAGGCGCCCAAAGGUUCCCUCAGCCUGGUUGGCAAUCAGGUGUUGAGUGCAAGUGCACAAGGGAGCUUGACUGUGAGACUGACAGGUCGAGCAGGGACGAAAGUCGGGACUAGUGAUCCGGCACCUGCGAGUGGAAGCGGUGUCGCUCAACGGAUAAAAGGUACCCCGGGGAUAACAGGCUGAUCUUCCCCAAGAGUCCAUAUCGACGGGAUGGUUUGGCACCUCGAUGUCGGCUCGUCGCAUCCUGGGGCUGGAGUAGGUCCCAAGGGUUGGGCUGUUCGCCCAUUAAAGCGGCACGCGAGCUGGGUUUAGAACGUCGUGAGACAGUUCGGUCCCUAUCCUCCGCGCGCGUAGGAGACUUGAGAAGAGCUGUCCCUAGUACGAGAGGACCGGGACGGACGAACCUCUGGUGUGCCAGUUGUCAUGCCAAUGGCACGGCUGGUUAGCUACGUUCGGAAGGGAUAACCGCUGAAAGCAUCUAAGCGGGAAGCUCGCUUCAAGAUGAGGUCUCCCACCCCUUCGAGGGUUAAGGCCCCCAGCUAGACCACUGGGUUGAUAGGCCAGAAGUGUAAGCCUGGUAACAGGUUCAGCCGACUGGUACUAAUAGGCCGAGGACUUC